rnacentral:rRNA from 1 species
AUGGCUCGCGCCUGAUUAGAUAGUUGGUGGGGUAACGGCCUACCAAGUCAACGAUCAGUAGCCGGACUGAGAGGUCGAUCGGCCACAUUGGGACUGAGACACGGCCCAGACUCCUACGGGAGGCAGCAGUGGGGAAUAUUGCACAAUGGGCGAAAGCCUGAUGCAGCGACGCCGCGUGAGGGAAGAAGGUUUUCGGAUUGUAAACCUCUGUCUUCGGGGACGAAACAAAUGACGGUACCCGAGGAGGAAGCCACGGCUAACUACGUGCCAGCAGCCGCGGUAAAACGUAGGUGGCAAGCGUUGUCCGGAAUUACUGGGUGUAAAGGGAGCGCAGGCGGGAUGCCAAGUCGGGCGUGAAAUCUAUGGGCUCAACCCAUAAAUUGCGCUCGAAACUGGCGUUCUUGAGUGAUGGAGAGGCAGGCGGAAUUCCCGGUGUAGCGGUGGAAUGCGUAGAUAUCGGGAGGAACACCAGUGGCGAAGGCGGCCUGCUGGACAUUAACUGACGCUGAGGCUCGAAAGUGUGGGGAGCAAACAGGAUUAGAUACCCUGGUAGUCCACACCGUAAACGAUGAUUACUAGGUGUGGGGGGAUAGACCCCCUCCGUGCCGCAGCUAACGCAAUAAGUAAUCCACCUGGGGAGUACGGCCCCAAGGCUGAAACUCAAAGGAAUUGACGG